rnacentral:lncRNA from 10 species
CUCCCUUUUGGAUAGACACAGCCACCCUUUCUCCCCACCCCAGCAGCAGGGCUGUUGCUCAGUGACCCUGAGAUCGGUGAUGCAGAAAAGCAGAGGUGGGUGUCACUCUUUAUUGUGGGGUCCACACUAUGGGUGUUGGGGCUCCUCCCACUGAGAGAAGCCUGAGCCUCUAGCCGAGGCUGGCCUCCUGGCCUCCUAUGAGUCCAUUCUCCUUCUGUCCCCUUAAUCUCAGGCUGAGCAUUUGCACUGGAUCUCUGGGGGCCUGUGAGUCCUCCUUGACCUUCAUCGCCCACUACCAUGUGCUUGAGAGCAUCACAAGUCAGUAGCAAUGAGCCAGGCGGGUGGUGGGUCACCUGGCGCAGCAGGCCUGGGGUUCGGGUCCCAGCCCAGCAGCUGUGGAGUCCCAGGUGGAGGCAGGGGUGGUGGCCGGGUUCACAAGCAGGUCAUGGGAGAUGGGGUCAACCAGGUUGAGGAAGGCCACAUCUCUGUAGAGGAUGUCAGUGAGGAGGGUCCCCUCAAGGCCCAGGUCCUGGCGCAGGAGCGUGGACUGGAUUUCAUGGGGCCUGGAGCCACCGCACUCAGAGCUCGAAGGGCGCGGGCGCAGCCGGCCGCCGCCCCGGCCUCGGAGCCAGCCUCGGGCCGGCCAGCCGGGCCGCCCAGCCAAGCCAGCCGGCCCAGCCGCGCCCCCACGG